UACGGAAGGCAGCAGUGGGGAAUAUUGGACAAUGGGCGAAAGCCUGAUCCAGCCAUGCCGCAUGAGUGAAGAAGGCCUUCGGGUUGUAAAGCUCUUUUAGUGAGAAAGAUAAUGACGGUACUCACAGAAGAAGUCCUGGCUAACUCCGUGCCAGCAGCCGCGGUAAUACGGAGAGGGCUAGCGUUAUUCGGAAUUAUUGGGCGUAAAGAGCGCGUAGGCUGAUUAGUAAGUUAAAAGUGAAAUCCCAAAGCUUAACUUUGGAAUUGCUUUUUAAAACUACUAGUCUAGAGAUUGAAAGAGGAUAGAGGAAUUCCUAGUGUAGAGGUGAAAUUCGUAAAUAUUAGGAGGAACACCAGUGGCGAAGGCGUCUAUCUGGUUCAAAUCUGACGCUGAGGCGCGAAGGGCGUGGGGAGCAAACAGGGAUUAGAUACC
rnacentral:rRNA from 1 species